GCGUAACGCGUAUGCAACCUACCUCUUACUGGGGAAUAGCCCGGAGAAAUUCGGAUUAAUGCCCCAUAUGCUCGUACGACCUCAUGGUCGAGCGAGGAAAGCUCCGGCGGUAAGAGAUGGGCAUGCGUCCUAUUAGCUAGAUGGUGAGGUAACGGCUCACCAUGGCUACGAUAGGUAGGGGGCCUGAGAGGGUGGUCCCCCACACUGGUACUGAGACACGGACCAGACUCC
rnacentral:rRNA from 1 species